AGUGAACGCUGGCGGUAGGCCUAACACAUGCAAGUCGAACGGCAGCACAGUAAGAGCUUGCUCUUACGGGUGGCGAGUGGCGGACGGGUGAGGAAUACAUCGGAAUCUACUUUUUCGUGGGGGAUAACGUAGGGAAACUUACGCUAAUACCGCAUACGACCUACGGGUGAAAGCAGGGGAUCUUCGGACCUUGCGCGACUGAAUGAGCCGAUGUCGGAUUAGCUAGUUGGCGGGGUAAAGGCCCACCAAGGCGACGAUCCGUAGCUGGUCUGAGAGGAUGGUCAACCAGACUGGAAGUGAGACACGGUCCAGACUCCUACAGGAGGAAGCAGUGGGGAAUAUUGGACAAUGGGCGCAAGCCUGAUCCAGCCAUACCGCGUGGGUGAAGAAGGCCUUCGGGUUGUAAAACCCUUUUGUUGGGAAAGAAAAGCAGCAGGUUAAUACCCCGCUGUUCUGACGGUACCCAAAGAAUAAGCACCGGCUAACUUCGUG
rnacentral:rRNA from 1 species